GACGAACGCUGGCGGCGUGCUUAACACAUGCAAGCCGAACGGAAAGGCCCUGCUUUUGUGGGGUGCUCGAGUGGCGAACGGGUGAGCAACACGUGAGUAACCUGCCCUUGACUUUGGGAUAACUUCAGGAAACUGGGGCUAAUACCGGAUAGGAGCUCCUGCUGCAUGGUGGGGGUUGGAAAGUUUCGGCGGUUGGGGAUGGACUCGCGGCUUAUCAGCUUGUUGGUGGGGUAGUGGCUUACCAAGGCUUUGACGGGUAGCCGGCCUGAGAGGGUGACCGGCCACAUUGGGACUGAGAUACGGCCCAGACUCCUACGGGAGGCAGCAGUGGGGAAUAUUGCACAAUGGGCGGAAGCCUGAUGCAGCAACGCCGCGUGCGGGAUGACGGCCUUCGGGUUGUAAACCGCUUUCGCCUGUGACGAAGCGUGAGUGACGGUAAUGGGUAAAGAAGCACCGGCUAACUACGUG
rnacentral:rRNA from 1 species